UCAAGUCGUAAAGAUGAACCCUCUCAAUAGUCGCAGCUGUUUGGAGUAAUUAAGACGCGACCAUUUGCUCUGUGGUUUCAACCGUCAUUCUUCAAACACGCGUUAGGCAGAAAAAGUAUUCUGAAGCCCCGCAUUGAAGACGAUCGAAAAGAGAAUAAGAUGUUCAUGUGGCGCCUAACCCUGGUUCUCACUGCAAUGGGCGUCUUCCAGUCACCGACUGCUGUUUUGGGGUGCUGGGGAAUCGGGAGUAUGUGCCACUCGCGCUUUGAUUGCUGCAGUCUCAAUUGCGCCUGGACCUGGGCCAUAUUCGUCGGGGUAUGCGACUAUAAAGACGAGUACUACGAUGAAGCUUUGGAUCCCUAUGAAAUUCAGUAGAUUACCAUAAAGUCGGUGAAUAAAGUGCUCCGAUGACGA